CUAGGAUGAACGCUAGCGACAGGCUAACACAUGCAAGUCGAGGGGCAGCAUAAAAGUAGCAAUACUUGGUGGCGACCGGCGCACGGGUGAGUAACGCGUAUGCAACCUACCUAUCAGAGGGGAAUAACCCGGCGAAAGUCGGACUAAUACCGCAUAAACAGGGGCACCGCAUGGUGAUAUUUGUUAAAGAAAUUCGCUGAUAGAUGGGCAUGCGUUCCAUUAGGUAGUUGGUGAGGUAACGGCUCACCAAGCCGACGAUGGAUAGGGGAACUGAGAGGUUGGUCCCCCACACUGGUACUGAGACACGGACCAGACUCCUACGGGAGGCAGCAGUGAGGAAUAUUGGUCAAUGGGCGAGAGCCUGAACCAGCCAAGUCGCGUGAAGGAAGAAGGAUCUAUGGUUCGUAAACUUCUUUUGCAGGGGAAUAAAGUGCAGGACGUGUCCUGUUUUGUAUGUACCCUGAGAAUAAGGAUCGGCUAACUCCGUGCCAGCCGCCGC
rnacentral:rRNA from 1 species